CAGCACCUCAAGUGGUCAGGAUGAUUAUUGGGCCUAAAGCAUCCGUAGCCGGCUCUGUAAGCUUUCGGUUAAAUCUGUAUGCUCAACAUACAGGCUGCCGGGAAUACUGCAGAGCUAGGGAGUGGGAGAGGUAGACGGUACUCGGUAGGAAGGGGUAAAAUCCUUUGAUCUAUUGAUGACCACCUGUGGCGAAGGCGGUCUACCAGAACACGUCCGACGGUGAGGGAUGAAAGCUGGGGGAGCAAACCGGAUUAGAUACCCGUGUAGUCC
rnacentral:rRNA from 1 species